rnacentral:rRNA from 1 species
UGGGGAAUAUUGGACAAUGGGCGAAAGCCUGAUCCAGCAAUACCGCGUGAAUGAUGAAGGCCUUAGGGUUGUAAAGUUCUUUUAGUAGGGAAGAUAAUGACGGUACCUACAGAAAAAGCCCCGGCUAACUCCGUGCCAGCAGCCGCGGUAAGACGGAGGGGGCUAGCGUUGUUCGGAAUUACUGGGCGUAAAGAGCGCGUAGGCGGAUAAACAAGUUGGGAGUGAAAGCCCAGGGCUUAACCCUGGAACUGCUCUCAAAACUGUUUUUCUAGAGUGAAGUAGGGGAUGAUGGAAUUCCUAGUGUAGAGGUGGAAUUCUUAGAUAUUAGGAGGAACACCGGUGGCGAAAGCGGUCAUCUGGGCUUCAACUGACGCUAAUGCGCGAAAGCGUGGGGAGCAAA